UGUGUUGAUUGUAGUUUCAGUCGUGACGUGCUGUAUCUGCAAGAAAUUUAGAAAAAAGGUUCAGACACCGGAGGAAGACGGAGCCGAUUCAGCAUUGUGUAAACCAAAAACACAAAAAAAGAAAUCAAAGACAGAUGCUGUGUAUGAAAAUGUCCCCAAAAAGCGAUGAUCAAAUACUGUAUCUACUGGAACUGAUGCUAGAGCCCAUACAGGACAGUGUCUUACGAUUUGGGGGUUUAUUCUCACUUAUCCUCUGCCAGGAUUGAUUUGUUUAAACUCUUUUUUGUACCUUUUGGUGUUAUUGUGAAUUUUGUUUUAAUGUAUUAGUUUACCAUUAGCACAGCAUCCAGAAACUCAGUUUAAAUUAUCUAUUUUUAGUUUAUCAUAUGAAACUUUACAUUCAUCAUACAUUAAACAUUGA